GUUGUAGGGUUAAGUAAUUAAGCGUAUAUGGUGGAUGCCUUGGCAGUCAGAGGCGAUGAAGGACGUGCAAAUCUGCGAAAAGCGUCGGUAAGGUGAUAUGAACCGCUAUAACCGGCGAUAUCCGAAUGGGGAAACCCGAUACUUUAAGUAUCAUCGUUAAGUGAAUACAUAGCUUAACGAAGCAAACCGGGAGAACUGAAACAUCUAAGUAACCCGAGGAAAAGAAAUCAAUAGAGAUUCCCUUAGUAGUGGCGAGCGAAAGGGGAACAGCCCAGAGCUUAAAAUAAACUUAUAUAUUAGUAAAAUGAUCUGGAAAGUUCAACGAUACAGGGUGAUAGUCCCGUAUAUGAAAAUAUAUAUGCUUGUAUGCUCAAUUGAGUAGGACGAGACACGUGAUAUCUUGUCUGAAGAUGGGGGGACCAUCCUCCAAGGCUAAAUACUCCUGACUGACCGAUAGUGAACUAGUACCGUGAGGGAAAGGCGAAAAGUACCCCGGUUAGGGGGGUGAAAUAGAACCUGAAACCAUAUACGUACAAGCAGUAGAAGCAUCUUUUUUAAGAUGUGACUGCGUACCUUUUGUAUAAUGGGUCAGCGACUUAUAUUCUGUAGCAAGGUUAACUUAAUAAGGGAGCCGAAGGGAAACCGAGUCUUAACUGGGCGAUUUAAGUUGCAGAGUAUAGACCCGAAACCCGGUGAUCUAACCAUGAGCAGGUUGAAGGUUGGGUAACACUAAUUGGAGGACCGAACCGACUAAUGUUGAAAAAUUAGCGGAUGACUUGUGGUUAGGGGUGAAAGGCCAAUCAAACCGGGAGAUAGCUGGUUCUCCUCGAAAGCUAUUUAGGUAGCGCCUCGUGAAUUUAUCUCCGGGGGUAGAGCACUGUUUCGGCUAAGGGGUUGUCCAAACUUACUAAUCCGAUGCAAACUACGAAUACCGGUGAAUAUUAUCACGGGAGACACACGGCGGGUGCUAACGUCCGUCGUGGAAAGGGAAACAACCCAGACCGCCAGCUAAGGUCCCUAAAUUAUGAUUAAGUGGGAAACGAUGUGGGAAGGCUUAAACAACCAGGAUGUUGGCUUAGAAGCAGCCAUCAUUUAAAGAAAGCGUAAUAGCUCACUGGUCGAGUCGGCCUGCGCGGAAGAUGUAACGGGGCUAAAUCAUAUACCGAAGCUGCGGCAACAACAUUUGAUGUUGCUAAGUUAAAUAUUGUUGGGUAGAGGAGCGUUCUGUAAACCGUCGAAGGUAUAUUGUAAAGUAUGCUGGAGGUAUCAGAAGUGCGAAUGCUGACAUGAGUAACGACAAAGCGGGUGAAAAACCCGCUCGCCGAAAGACUAAGGGUUCCUGUCUAACGUUAAUCGGGGCAGGGUGAGUCGACCCCUAAGGUGAGGCCGAAAGGCGUAAUCGAUGGAAAACAGGUUAAUAUUCCUGUACUUGAUGUUAUUGCGAUGGGGGGACGGAGAAGGCUAUAUUAUCCGAGCGACGGUUGUCUCGGUUUAAGCGUGUAGGUGGAUGUUCUAGGUAAAUCCGGUUCAUUUUACACUAAGACGUGAUGACUAGGUACUUAAUAAUACUAAAGUAAUAAAUGCCAUGCUUCCAAGAAAAGCCUCUAAGCAUCAGAUAAUAUUAAAUCGUACUCUAAACCGACACAGGUGGUCAGGUAGAGAAUACUAAGGCGUUUGAGAGAACUCGGGUGAAGGAACUAGGCAAAAUGGUGCCGUAACUUAGGGAGAAGGCACGCUGAUAUAAAAGUGAAAAGAUUUACUCUUGGAGCUUAAAUCAGUCGAAGAUACCAGCUAGCUGCAACUGUUUAUUAAAAACACAGCACUGUGCAAACACGAAAGUGGACGUAUACGGUGUGACGCCUGCCCGGUGCCGGAAGGUUAAUUGAUGGGGUUAUCUGUAAUGGAAAAGCUCUUGAUCGAAGCCCCGGUAAACGGCGGCCGUAACUAUAACGGUCCUAAGGUAGCGAAAUUCCUUGUCGGGUAAGUUCCGACCUGCACGAAUGGCGUAAUGAUGGCUAGGCUGUCUCCACCCGAGACUCAGUGAAAUUGAAUUUGCUGUGAAGAUGCAGUAUACCCGCGGCAAGACGGAAAGACCCCGUGAACCUUUACUAUAGCUUGACACUGAAUAUUGAAUAUUUAUGUGUAGGAUAGGUGGGAGGCUUUGAAGUAUAAACGCUAGUUUAUAUGGAGCCAAUGUUGAAAUACCACCCUUAAAUAUUUAAUAUUCUAACGUAGCUCCGUAAUCCGGAGUGCAGACAGUGUCUGGUGGGUAGUUUGACUGGGGCGGUCUCCUCCUAAAGAGUAACGGAGGAGUACAAAGGUCAGCUAAUCACGGUCGGAAAUCGUGAAUUUAGUGCAAUGGCAUAAGCUGGCUUAACUGCGAGAGUGACAAUUCGAGCAGAUGCGAAAGCAGGUCAUAGUGAUCCGGUGGUUCUGAAUGGAAGGGCCAUCGCUCAACGAAUAAAAGGUACUCCGGGGAUAACAGGCUAAUACCGCCCAAGAGUUCAUAUCGACGGCGGUGUUUGGCACCUCGAUGUCGGCUCAUCACAUCCUGGGGCUGAAGUAGGUCCCAAGGGUACGGCUGUUCGCCGUUUAAAGUGGUACGCGAGCUGGGUUUAGAACGUCGUGAGACAGUUCGGUCCCUAUCUGCCGUGGGCGUUGGAGAAUUGAGGGAGGUUACUCCUAGUACGAGAGGACCGGAGUGAACGCACCACUGGUGUUCGGGUUGUCAUGCCAAUGGCAUUGCCCGGUAGCUAAGUGCGGAAAAGAUAAGAGCUGAAAGCAUCUAAGCACGAAACUUGUCCCAAGAUUAGUUCUCACUGAUUUUUUAUAAAAAUCCUAAAGGGACGUUGAAGACAACAACGUUGAUAGGCCGGAUGUGUAAGCAUAGUAAUGUGUUGAGCUAACCGGUACUAAUGACCCGUGAGGCUUAACCUUACAACACCAGAGGUGUUU
rnacentral:rRNA from 2 species